UACGGGGGGGGCAAGCGUUGUUCGGAAUUACUGGGCGUAAAGGGCUCGUAGGUGGCCAACUAAGUCGGACGUGAAAUCCCUCGGCUUAACCGGGGAACUGCGUCUGAUACUGGAUGGCUUGAGUUCGGGAGAGGGAUGCGGAAUUCCAGGUGUAGCGGUGAAAUGCGUAGAUAUCUGGAGGAACACCGGUGGCGAAGGCGGCAUCCUGGACCGGUAUUGGCGCUGAGGCGCGAAAGCCAGGGGAGCAAACGGG
rnacentral:rRNA from 1 species